AGAUUCUCAGACAAAGGCUGGUGGGACUUAACAUUCAAGUGAAGAGGACCUAGCACUGAAGUUUUUGAAUGAAAUGGAGAACGUUGAUAACAGAAGAGACAUAUGCAGUAGGGAAGCUGUCCACAGGAGGUCUACAUGCUCCUCUUUUAGAAUGCUGAACUCUGGAUGCCAAAGAAGAUGACAAGAGGUGACAGCCAGGAGGGGAAAGUAAUUCUCA
rnacentral:lncRNA from 1 species